GCCUACAGUGCCUCCUUCUCAAAAUGCUUAACUACUACAUUAAGCAAAAAAUAGUUAAAAGUGUUAGUCCUAAAGUUAGCAAGAAGAUACAGUGUAUUUUUAUUGGAUUACAAAUAUACAUGAGAAUACUCCAAGAGAUGCAUAUUUUAUAUAAAAACAUUCAUAUCACAUCCAUCAGUAAAUGUCCUUAAUUCUUAAUUAUCUGCGUCCAGUUGGAAAAUUUUGUAUUUUCUUGUGGCUCUCUCUCCCUUGCUAUCUAUGAGGGGGCCUGGAAAAUAAAAGGGUAGAAUGCAAAUCUGUCAAUGUGGUUGCUUAUAUUUUUCUUUCAAAAGUCUCCAUUGAGAAAGUAAGUUGAAAAAUGGUAACAAUGUACUUACAUAAAUGUCUCCUAAAUUAUCUUUGUUGUCUGACUCUAUUAGGAAGAAUUAUUUGUGUAGCAAUUUUAAGUAGGUACAAUCCAAACCAUGCAGAUCUUUUUUGUUUGGUUGUUUGUUUUUCUUUUUUUUUAAAGCUGCAGCAAUAUAUUUAUUGCAAAGGAACUAGACAU
rnacentral:lncRNA from 1 species